CGAUCUGAUGGCGACCGGCGCACGGGUGAGUAACACGUAUCCAACCUGCCUCAUACUCGGGGAUAGCCUUUCGAAAGAAAGAUUAAUACCCGAUGUUAUAGUCCUACCGCAUGAUGGGAUUAUUAAAGAAUUUCGGUAUGGGAUGGGGAUGCGUUCCAUUAGUUAGUUGGCGGGGUAACGGCCCACCAAGACAACGAUGGAUAGGGGUUCUGAGAGGAAGGUCCCCCACAUUGGAACUGAGACACGGUCCAAACUCCUACGGGAGGCAGCAG
rnacentral:rRNA from 1 species